UUCUGAAUGACUGAGGUUGUAUGUUUUGCAGCAGUCUGCUGCCCGCCUGUUUUAUCUAGUUUGGCUGAUUCCAAGGUUCCCUGUCUGGAGUGGCAUGAUGUGGUGUUCCUUACAGAGCACCCUGUGUUAAGAUAUGAGAAGCUUAAGGAGCAACAAGUAGGGUAUGAUGACUGCCUGAGUGAUUCUAGUGGUUGGCUUGUGGUGGAGGCUAGGCACGCUGGUGUGGGUUCCUUCACCGACUAGUGUUAACGGCACUGGGACACGAUUUGGUGGUAACUCGAUUUGCAGUGAACCAGUUUGCAGUGACUAUUGAUUGCAGUGGGCACAUGCGAUGGGUAAGUUGGUGCACCCCUGGAGUACACCCUUAGUUUGCCUCUCCAGAACUGGACCUGGCCACCCCUGCCUUUUUUUUCUUUUGGUUCAAUAAUAGUUAUAACUGGGAGUGUGUUAAAAUUGUUAUACUUUUAUAUUCCAUUGUAACUUGAUUAGUUGUAUUAUUGACCAUCCUCUCUUCAGGCACUUCCAGUUACCAAUUAUCAAUAAAUGAAUUAUUCUUUUGGA